AUUGGACGCUGGCGGAAUGCUUUACACAUGCAAGUCGAACGGCAGCACGGACUUCGGUCUGGUGGCGAGUGGCGAACGGGUGAGUAACAUAUCGGAACGUAUCCAAUAAUGGGGGAUAACUAAUCGAAAGGUUGGCUAAUACCGCAUACGCCCUACGGGGGAAAGCAGGGGAUCUUCGGACCUUGCGUUAAUGGAGCGGCGGAUAUCUGAUUAGCUAGUUGGUGAGGUAAAGGCUCACCAAGGCGACGAUCAGUAGCUGGUCUGAGAGGACGACCAGCCACACUGGAACUGAGACACGGUCCAGACUCCUACGGGAGGCAGCAGUGGGGAAUUUUGGACAAUGGGCGCAAGCCUGAUCCAGCCAUUCCGCGUGAGUGAAGAAGGCCUUCGGGUUGUAAAGCUCUUUCGCAAGGGAAGAAAACUUACUUUCUAAUAAAGAGUGAGGUUGACGGUACCUUGAUAAGAAGCACCGGCUAACUACGUGCCAGCAGCCGCCGUAA
rnacentral:rRNA from 1 species